UGAGCACGUAGGGGGUUUGUAAGUCAGAUGUGAAAGCCUUCUGUUCAACGGGAGAAUUGCAUCUGAAACUGCUAAUCUUGAGUGUAGGAGGGGAGAAUGGAACUUCUGGUGGAGCGGUGAAAUGCGUAGAUAUCAGAAGGAACGCCGGCGGCGAAAGCGAUUCUCUGGCCUAUUACUGACACUCAGUGUGCGAAAACUAGGGGAGCAAACGGGAUAGAUACCCCGUAGCUAGCACAU
rnacentral:rRNA from 1 species